rnacentral:rRNA from 1 species
UACGGAAGGCAGCAGUGGGGAAUAUUGCACAAUGGGCGCAAGCCUGAUGCAGCCAUGCCGCGUGUAUGAAGAAGGCCUUCGGGUUGUAAAGUACUUUCAGUCGUGAGGAAGGUGUUAAGGUUAAUAACCUUAGCAAUUGACGUUAGCGACAGAAGAAGCACCGGCUAACUCCGUGCCAGCAGCCGCGGUAAUACGGAGGGUGCGAGCGUUAAUCGGAAUUACUGGGCGUAAAGGGCACGCAGGCGGUUAAUUAAGUUGGAUGUGAAAUCCCCGGGCUUAACCUGGGAAUGGCAUUCAAGACUGGUUAGCUAGAGUCUUGUAGAGGGGGUAGAAUUCCAUGUGUAGCGGUGAAAUGCGUAGAGAUGUGGAGGAAUACCGGUGGCGAAAGGCGGCCCCUGGACAAAGACUGACGCUCAUGUGCGAAAGCGUGGGGAGCAAACAGGGAUUAGAUACC